UAAAAAAAAUCUACACACACAUUUAGAGACAAAUAAUUGGAAACCGUAGCGAAGCCUAAACAUGAAGAGAAUAUAACUGUAUAUGCCAGCAGUCUUUCAUGGACAAAUAGCCUAUAUAAUGAAGCAAAAUCAGAAUGGACAGAAGCAUGGAUGUCCAGAAAAAGCCAGUGGUUGUUUGUAUUCAACUGUGCAGGAAGCGUGCCUCCUGAUUGGCUUACAUUUCUGGGUGAGACCGAAAAGCAGGUGCCAGGAAAAUGCUGUUUUGUUGUUCGAAGUUUGCCACAACCAUUUGCUUUUGGAUAUAUGUGGCAGCAGUUGCAGUAAGGAGUUUGAAAUUACACUGAAGGAUGGGGACUUUUUAAAGUCCAUCUGCUCCCACUCAUCCCACAGAGCUGCAUCUUCAUGGAAGAUAUUUGGAAUGAUUUCUGAAGUAAUAACCUCACGAUGAAGAUUACUGGGGUGCAAAAUCACUUUAAAUGUAUUGAAAAAGUUAUGAUUUUAUGACCUUAACUUCAGAAAUUAUAAAAGAUAACUAAAACAGCAAAAUUAAAAUUCUCAGUUGUUAUAGUUUAGAUCCAGAAUAUCCUGCCAAAAUCCCAAGAGCUCCGAGGUGGGACUUUGUUGUGGAAGGUGAUUGGAUCCCGAGAUGCCUGUACUCUUCAGUGGAUUCAUGCACUAAUGAGUUCCGUGGCUGAAGGUGCCCUUAGGAGGUGGGAAUUUGGUCAGAAGACACAAGCUACUGUAGGCAUGAUCUGGAAGGGUGAAUAUCCCUAUCUAGUUCCUCUGCUGACUCUAUACUUCCCAACGCCAUGCCAUGAGAAGCUUUUCUCCACCAUGCCCUUCCAUCUUGCUUCCUGCCACAGAGCCAGGC
rnacentral:lncRNA from 1 species